GCUAAACGGAGGGGCUGAAUCGAUCCUUAAUCGAGCUGUCGCAACCGGGAGAAAGGUUUAUCCGAAUCUUAGGAGAUCAGCAGGUAAAAUAAGAUGUCAAAGCUUACAGGGAGGUUUAUUAUGGCUGGAUGGUACAUGUAACAUAAAAAUUCUGUUUUUCCCCAUUCUCAUGAAAUGACAUCCAUCCUAUUGUCAGUGCUGCCAGGGAAAAAAAAGAACUGGUGUAUUACAACUUAAGACAAAGUGUUGAGAUGUUUGGCAGUCCUAUACAUUCACAGAGAAAAUGUUCUGCUGGAAAUAUGGGGCAACAUUCGGCCUGUACACACACAGACUAGUUAUGCUCAUGCUUGGGAUUCCGCCAAAAACUGAAAGGGAAAAGAAGCUGAUGUACUCAAACAAUCCCUGGCAAGAGAAAAUAAUUUGUGAAAUGAAAGAAUGCACAGACUUAACAUUUUAAUUUUUUUGGUACAAAAAUUGACAUUGAAAGGAAUUUACUGUAUGUGUAGUUAAAAUAGCGGGUUUCAUAUUUUAGCUGCUUUUUGCACAGAAGAGGAUGUGCUAAUAUUCAUGAAAACACUAAGAAUUCAUUUAUAGAUAGAAUAUAAGACACAAAUAUUUGUAGCGCUUAUUCAUGAUUAUGCCAACAACUCUAUAUUCAUUGAUUGUGCUAAAUUUUGAAAAUAAUUAUGUACAUGUACAGUAUCUUUCCAUAGCUUGAACUUUUCUCUGUUAA